rnacentral:rRNA from 1 species
AAUUGCGGGGCUCAACCCCGUACAGCCGUUGAAACUGCCGGGCUCGAGUGGGCGAGAAGUAUGCGGAAUGCGUGGUGUAGCGGUGAAAUGCAUAGAUAUCACGCAGAACCCCGAUUGCGAAGGCAGCAUACCGGCGCCCUACUGACGCUGAGGCACGAAAGUGCGGGGAUCAAACAGGAUUAGAUACCCUGGUAGUCCGCACAGUAAACGAUGAAUGCUAGCUGUCCGGGGGGAUUGACCCCUGGGUGGCACAGCGAAAGCGUUAAGCAUUCCACCUGGGGAGUACGCCGGCAACGGUGAAACUCAAAGGAAUUGACGGGGGCCCGCACAAGCGGAGGAACAUGUGGUUUAAUUCGAUGAUACGCGAGGAACCUUACCCGGGCUCAAACGCCGAAGGAACAUUCCCCGAAAGGGGAAUGGCCAGCAAUGGUCUUCGGCGAGGUGCUGCAUGGUUGUCGUCAGCUCGUGCCGUGAGGUGUCGGCUUAAGUGCCAUAACGAGCGCAACCCCCACCGACAGUUGCUAACUGGUCAAGCAGAGGACUCUGUCGGGACUGCCGGCGCAAGCUGCGAGGAAGGCGGGGAUGACGUCAAAUCAGCACGGCCCUUACGUCCGGGGCGACACACGUGUUACAAUGGCAGGUACAGCGGGAUGCCAUGGGGCGACCCAGAGCGGAACCCGAAAACCUGUCUCAGUUCGGAUUGGAGUCUGCAACCCGACUCCAUGAAGCUGGAUUCGCUAGUAAUCGCGCAUCAGCCACGGCGCGGUGAAUACGUUCCCGGGCCUUGUACACACCGCCCGUCAAGCCAUGGGAGCCGGGGGUGCCUGAAGGCCGUGACCGCGAGGAGCGGCCUAGGGUAAAACUGGUGACUGGGGCUAAGUCGUAACAAGGUAACCGUAA